GCUUAACACAUGCAAGUCGAGGGGUAGCAGGGUAGCAAUACCGCUGACGACCGGCGCACGGGUGAGUAACACGUAUCCAACCUUCCCAUAACUCGGGGAUAGCCUUUCGAAAGAAAGAUUAAUACCCGAUAGUACUUUAUUAAGGCAUCUUAAGAAAGUUAAAGAUUUAUUGGUUAUGGAUGGGGAUGCGUUCCAUUAGAUAGUUGGUGAGGUAACGGCUCACCAAGUCUUCGAUGGAUAGGGGUUCUGAGAGGAAGGUCCCCCACAUUGGUACUGAGACACGGACCAAACUCCUACGGGAGGCAGCAGUGAGGAAUAUUGGUCAAUGGGCGAGAGCCUGAACCAGCCAAGUAGCGUGAAGGAUGACGG
rnacentral:rRNA from 1 species